rnacentral:snoRNA from 1 species
UCCUAAUUUGAGAGGCUUUGAAUACAGUAAUCAGAACAGUUCUGUCAUUUGCUGGGGACAUGAGCAUAAAAAAUUUUUCCAGUAGGUUUUCUGAAUGCUACCUUGUUAACAAUCAACCUAUUGGGAAUAGUA